rnacentral:lncRNA from 1 species
UGUGGUUCACUCUCAGUCUGAUGCAGCUCGAGCUAUGUCGGCUGUGGCUGGAGGUGUAAUGUCUCAUUCUCCUCCUGACACUGUUCGGCCUAAGAAAAAAUGGGGAGACAUGUUGGACGAUGAAGACUCUUUGGAUGGAGACGUUUGUUUUUUCUCAGGUCCUCUGUGAUCCGGUCCUUUGUUGCGUGUGCUCUCAUGGUUUUUUGAUCCUUUUUUUCUUUUUUCUUUUCUGCAGUUAGGGGUUUUUGUUUCUUUUUGAGCUCUCUUUCCUGAGGCUCACACAUUUGUCUGCGCCUGUGCUUUCAAGGGUUUUCUGCUUUUCUUUUUUUCAAUAAACUUUCCAUUUCAGCAAUAAGGCUUAUAAUUAAAUAAAUAUUUGUAUCCAAUAAAAUAUAUUUUGAAGAAUUUACAUAUAAUAUAAGCCCUAUUUAUUAUAUAUAUAAUACUCCCUCCGUCCCAAUAAUAAAGACACACUUUCCUUAUUGGGUUGUCCCAAUAAUAAAGACACCAUUCUAAAAAAGGAAACAAUUAAGCAAAAUUAAACUGAACUAAGGGAAACCCUAAUCUAAAUCACUAGUCUCUCACACGGUACGCCUCCGUUCCUCUCUCUCUCUUUCAGCUGCCAUCGGCUUCCGGCCAUCCUCGGAUCGCAGCAACCAUGGCUUCUCCAGUCAUUUCCACACCGCCAUCACCGCCACUCCUAUCACCUCCGCUCUCUCAUCCGACUUGUCGCCUCCCGAAUUGAGAAGCUCCAGGAGGGGCUCUGCCUCCUCGAGGA